UUCCAAGUCCUAAGUUAGCAGCAAUGCAGACUAUGCAGCGCCAUUACGUGCAUGCUCAGUGCAUCCAAGUGGUUUUCUCCCGCGGGGAGCGAGCGUGCCAGCCGCUACAUGAGGCAUAGUUGCAAUCUUAGUUUCCAAUUUAUGACCAAACAGCAACCUAGCAUGGAUAUUCCGAGUGCAUGAUUUUAUGACUUGAUGGUUGAUUUAGUAGAGCAGGAGGUGUUCCAGUUAUUUGAAAGAUAUAGGUGGUUGUUUCUAUAUAUGAGGCUGCCCCGAGGAAAUCUGUGGUGGUCUGGCCAUGAAGCUGUUUAUUUCCUCGAUGACAUUCAACUUUGUCACCGGUAGUUCUUACUGCUACUCAUCAGUACUUCAAGUCGUCAACAGAAAAAAACUAUGAUGCACAUUGUGGGCAAUCAUGGAGAGCUAGAUGAUGUUUGAUAAUAGCUACUGGUCUGACAUGAGCAAUGCCGGUCUUCUGGGAUUGGAAAGGUGUUUCGUGAAGCAACAAUCAUGCUACAAUCAAAUUUAAUGGCUAUUACAGCGGCAGAAAGGAGGAGGACGGCCUCCUGAUCCAGCGGGCCUGGGGGCGCCCAGCCAGGGCGUCGACGCGCUCUGUCAGCCUCCCCACGACGCGCUCACCUGCUGCUCCAUCCUACGAGCACCGCCAUCCUCUGGGCGCCGACGGGCCAGUAGUGUUUGCCCAGCUAUGCGUCCAGGCUACGGAAGGCGUGGGGCUUGCUGGUCAAGUAGGUUGCGCCCUCUCCAUCAUGAUGUCCUCCCUCACUGUGAGUGUUAACUGAUUAAUCAUGCACAUCCAUUUAAACAAAGAUUCAGAAAAAUGUUUGAUUCACUAAUUAAUCAACCAGUAAAGGACCAAUUGUUUAAUCCUACUAGCUAGACACUCCAUCCAUCCAAUCCAGUGAGUUUAAAUUUAUUAAUUUUUUACAUCCUUAAAUUAUAAAGAGUAAAGAAAAGAUUUAGGUGUUGGAGGAGUAGUCAGCAAGUGUUGUCUGCAAACCGAAUCCAGUUUCUGUGGAGAACAUUGAUUUGCCACCUCAGCUCAGUCCUAUUGAACGGAUUGAUUACUCUAUGAAAUAGUAGUUAGCCCAUAAUAGUAAUUCCACUCCAAUAUUGGAGGAAGUGUUGAUUGAGCUGAGAAAUUUACUUGACGAUGAAAGGAACGGCUUGCUUCCAAAUUUGCAAAAUAACUUCUCCAAGCUCUCAGAAGAGAAGCAAUAAUGUGACUCCAAGGUGUCCCUCUGAGAGAAAAGCUACCAAGGUGUCCCUCUGAGAGAAAAGCUAGAGAUGCUUUGGCGGUGGCAAAAUAAAGGGAAGUAAUUGCUAUGGACGCCAGCCAGUCAGAUAGCAGAUGAAAAGAGAAGGAUGAAGAAGUCAAGCUAUUGGAGAGGUCAAUUGAGGAGCUCGAUAGUACUUUAUUUGCUCUCGAAUGUAGCUUUAUUCAGUUUGAGUGAAUUUUGUGGCCUAACUGUUGUAGCU